rnacentral:rRNA from 1 species
UUGUCCGACUCUGUUGCCUCCGGGGCGACCCUGCCUUCGGGCGGGGGCUCCGGGUGGACACUUCAAACUCUUGCGUAACUUUGCAGUCUGAGUAAACUUAAUUAAUAAAUUAAAACUUUUAACAACGGAUCUCUUGGUUCUGGCAUCGAUGAAGAACGCAGCGAAAUGCGAUAAGUAAUGUGAAUUGCAGAAUUCAGUGAAUCAUCGAAUCUUUGAACGCACAUUGCGCCCCCUGGUAUUCCGGGGGGCAUGCCUGUUCGAGCGUCAUUUCACCACUCAAGCCUCGCUUGGUAUUGGGCAACGCGGUCCGCCGCGUGCCUCAAAUCGUCCGGCUGGGUCUUCUGUCCCCUAAGCGUUGUGGAAACUAUUCGCUAAAGGGUGUUCGGGAGGCUACGCCGUAAAACAACCCCAUUUCUAAGGUUGACCUCGGAUCAGGUAGGGAUACCCGCUGAACUUAAG